AUCUACGGCUAUGCCACUCUGAACGUGGCCGAUCUCGUCUGAUCUUGGAAGCUAAGCAGGGUCGGGCCUGGUUAGUACUGGAUGAGAGACCACCUAGGAAAACCAGGUGCUAUAGGUG
rnacentral:rRNA from 1 species